AUUGAACGCUGGCGGAAUGCUUUACACAUGCAAGUCGAGCGGCAGCACGGGGCAACCUGGUGGCGAGUGGCGAACGGGUGAGUAAUGCAUCGGAACGUGCCAUUGAGUGGGGGAUAACGUAGCGAAGGUUACGCUAAUACCGCAUACGAUCUACGGAUGAAAGCGGGGGGAUCGCAAGACCUCGCGCGAGUGGAGCGGCCGAUGUCAGAUUAGGUAGUUGGUGGGGUAAAGGCUCACCAAGCCAACGAUCUGUAGCUGGUCUGAGAGGACGACCAGCCACACUGGAACUGAGACACGGUCCAGACUCCUACGGGAGGCAGCAGUGGGGAAUUUUGGACAAUGGGCGCAAGCCUGAUCCAGCCAUUCCGCGUGCAGGAUGAAGGCCUUCGGGUUGUAACUAGCUUUGUACGGUAACGAAACGGACGAGACUCUAAUACAGUUGUCUAAUGACGGUACCGUAA
rnacentral:rRNA from 1 species